UUUCGUUACCACCAUAGAUAUCGAUACACUAGAUGUCGCAUUGGGGUCCUAAAAAUGCGUCAAAACCGCCGCCAUCUUUGUACGGUGCUCCUUUACUUCAAAUGCAUGGACGAUGCCGGACUUCUGUGCUGCAUUUGGUUGUUCAAACGAAAGAAAUCUAAAAACCAGACAGCAAGGGAUUACAUUUCACAAGCUGUCUUAUCAUUGUUGGUGAUCAUGCCCACCAUAACUGUGUCAUUGGCAAACUUGAUGAUGGUCGUGGAGUUGGAAGUGUAUGUGUACAGUGAGUACAGCAGGGAGCUCAGAACACAACCCUGGUGGCCACCAGUGCUGAGGGUGAGGGAGGAUUAGACAUGUUUGCCCAACUGUACUGUUUGUGGUCCGUUCAUCAGUAAGAUGGAGAUAAAUCGAGUCCUGUGACCUCCAACUUAGAGGUGGCUAAGGGCUGUGUAAAAGGAGGUGUGCAAUGGCAUCCUCGGUAGAGCAGUUGGGAUGGCACACAAACUGCAGCGGCUGUCAGGUAGUGAAGAAUUGAUGAAUUCUUAACAGCAGAGUGGGACCUUAGUGCAUUGUGGAUGGUUUCAUCCAUUUAUGGUUUCUGAUUGGGAAAAAUACUGAUUGUGGACUUUAUCAUCCACUAGUUUUCUGAUAAAUCCUAAAACCACUUCUGUAAACAUGUUGAGAUCAUGUUUUGCAUCUGAACAUGUCCCAGUCUGUGUCACCCAGAGGUCCUGAGGGCAUCCACAUACUCUGGAUAAGGGCGUCUGCCAAAUGCUGUAAAUGUAAAUUUCGCUCACCCAACUUGGGUCCAGGUUUAAAAUCUGUGGUAAGUGAUUGGAUUGUAGACCAAUAGAAAUAAGAGUAUCUCUGACAUUCAUGAUUAUGUCGACCAUGAUGAAGCUUGGUUUGAGCCGACCUUACUGGCACCAUCUUUAAUUGUGUGUGAAAACGUGUAAAACAUAUUAGGUGUGAAAAAAAUUUAAAUGUAGUAUAUGGAAUAGUAACUGUACAACUCUGGAAUAUCACCACACCUUAGGUAGAUUUCUCCCUGGGUGAUUGUAAGAAAACAGUGAAGUGAAUCAUGCCCUGAGCUCUGCUGAAUUUAUUCUACUGCAGUGCCUUCUAAUGGGAAACGAGACAUGUUUUUAGGGUUGAGGCAAUAAGCAUUUUUUUGCCUUCUUUUACUUGAUUAUGGACUAUCAUUAUUAAGCAUGAUUUUAAUCAUGAUUAUCUCAAACUUUUUGUCUGUUUUCCAAAACCUUACAUGCAGUUAUUGUUGCACAAGUGCUCACAACAGACACUAAAAGCAAAGGUUCACAUUUUAGCAAAAGUCACAGAUAUUUCACUCACGGACUCACUCAUUUUCUACCGCUUACCUCGAGUCAUGGGGAGUCUGUGCCUCUCAGGCGUCAUCGGGCAUCAAGGCAGGAUACACCCUGGACGGAGUGCCACAGAUAUGUAAUACUGGAUAAGUUUUCUCUAUAAUUAAUAAAAAGUAUAAGGGUUUUGGCUCAUUUGUUUACUUUGUUCACUGUGUUUACAUUUAGGACUCGAAUAAAGGAGUUUCUAGAGGGUUCACAAACUUUCAAGUGACACUGAAGAUCACAAUAUAUUUUUUACAGGAAAACAACAGAUUAAAAUGGACAAAUUAGUUUUGAACCCAGCAGGAUGUGUGUGAACUGGACUGUUAUAAAGAAACCUGUCAAAUGCUUAAAUAUUUAAAUACUUAAAUACUGUCUAUGAUUUAUGUUUUGUAUAAUGAAAAUAUUAAACACACUGUUACCAUUUUAAUACAUUUGUAAAAGAAAUUCUAAUAAUUUAUAUGCAAUAACAUUUAGGCCUCAAUUUUGUUAAUUUCAAGGAGUAGAUUAUAUUAUUAAUUCAAGAAAAUCUGAUUUUUUUUAUAAUGCUCUGCACAGAGCAAACAAAUCACUAUCUGUGCACUAU